rnacentral:rRNA from 19 species
UUAAAUUGAAGAGUUUGAUCAUGGCUCAGAUUGAACGCUGGCGGCAGGCCUAACACAUGCAAGUCGAACGGUAACAGGAAGCAGCUUGCUGCUUUGCUGACGAGUGGCGGACGGGUGAGUAAUGUCUGGGAAACUGCCUGAUGGAGGGGGAUAACUACUGGAAACGGUGGCUAAUACCGCAUAACGUCGCAAGACCAAAGAGGGGGACCUUCGGGCCUCUUGCCAUCAGAUGUGCCCAGAUGGGAUUAGCUAGUUGGUGAGGUAACGGCUCACCAAGGCGACGAUCCCUAGCUGGUCUGAGAGGAUGACCAGCCACACUGGAACUGAGACACGGUCCAGACUCCUACGGGAGGCAGCAGUGGGGAAUAUUGCACAAUGGGCGCAAGCCUGAUGCAGCCAUGCCGCGUGUAUGAAGAAGGCCUUCGGGUUGUAAAGUACUUUCAGCGGGGAGGAAGGUGUUGUGGUUAAUAACCGCAGCAAUUGACGUUACCCGCAGAAGAAGCACCGGCUAACUCCGUGCCAGCAGCCGCGGUAAUACGGAGGGUGCAAGCGUUAAUCGGAAUUACUGGGCGUAAAGCGCACGCAGGCGGUCUGUCAAGUCGGAUGUGAAAUCCCCGGGCUCAACCUGGGAACUGCAUUCGAAACUGGCAGGCUUGAGUCUUGUAGAGGGGGGUAGAAUUCCAGGUGUAGCGGUGAAAUGCGUAGAGAUCUGGAGGAAUACCGGUGGCGAAGGCGGCCCCCUGGACAAAGACUGACGCUCAGGUGCGAAAGCGUGGGGAGCAAACAGGAUUAGAUACCCUGGUAGUCCACGCCGUAAACGAUGUCUACUUGGAGGUUGUGCCCUUGAGGCGUGGCUUCCGGAGCUAACGCGUUAAGUAGACCGCCUGGGGAGUACGGCCGCAAGGUUAAAACUCAAAUGAAUUGACGGGGGCCCGCACAAGCGGUGGAGCAUGUGGUUUAAUUCGAUGCAACGCGAAGAACCUUACCUGGUCUUGACAUCCACGGAAGUUUUCAGAGAUGAGAAUGUGCCUUCGGGAACCGUGAGACAGGUGCUGCAUGGCUGUCGUCAGCUCGUGUUGUGAAAUGUUGGGUUAAGUCCCGCAACGAGCGCAACCCUUAUCCUUUGUUGCCAGCGGUCCGGCCGGGAACUCAAAGGAGACUGCCAGUGAUAAACUGGAGGAAGGUGGGGAUGACGUCAAGUCAUCAUGGCCCUUACGACCAGGGCUACACACGUGCUACAAUGGCGCAUACAAAGAGAAGCGACCUCGCGAGAGCAAGCGGACCUCAUAAAGUGCGUCGUAGUCCGGAUUGGAGUCUGCAACUCGACUCCAUGAAGUCGGAAUCGCUAGUAAUCGUGGAUCAGAAUGCCACGGUGAAUACGUUCCCGGGCCUUGUACACACCGCCCGUCACACCAUGGGAGUGGGUUGCAAAAGAAGUAGGUAGCUUAACCUUCGGGAGGGCGCUUACCACUUUGUGAUUCAUGACUGGGGUGAAGUCGUAACAAGGUAACCGUAGGGGAACCUGCGGUUGGAUCACCUCCUUACCUUAAAGAA